UGGUCGUUGGUACGCGUCUCUGAAUCGCCGAGUAGUUUCAGGUCGCUGGUACGUGUCUUCUGAAUCGUCGAGUACUUCUGGUCGCAAGGAGGCUUCUGGUCGCAAGUUCACAUCUCUGAGUCGCCGAGUAUCUCUGGUCGUAGGCUCACAUCUCCGAGUCGCCGAGUUCCUCUGGUCGCAAGUUCUCGUCUCCAAGUCGCCGAAUAUCUCUGGUCGCAAGGAGGCUUCUGGUCACCGGUUCACGUUUCUGGGUCGUCGAGUACCUCUGGUUGCAAGGAGGCUUCACGUAACUUUACCAGAUCGUGAAGAACAGGGCCGAAUUUGCACCCGCUCUGAUACCAUGAAGUUAAUAGAAUAAUUCUGUAUAUCUUAUUAUUGAAUGAGAAGGAAUACAUCAUAUAUAUAACCGAACUAAAGAUAAGAUACUGCUAUCUAUCCUAUCUAAUCUAAUACGGAAAAGAUAAAUGAGUAACUGAAAAA